rnacentral:rRNA from 1 species
AUACGGAGGGUGCAAGCGUUAUUCGGAAUCACUGGGCGUAAAGGACGCGUAGGCGGGUUGGCAAGUCAGAUGUGAAAUCCUACAGCUUAACUGUAGAAUUGCAUUUGAAACUGCUAACCUAGAGUAUGGGAGGGGGAGAUGGAAUUAGUGGUGUAGGGGUAAAAUCCGUAGAUAUCACUAGGAAUACCGAAAGCGAAGGCGAUCUCCUGGAACAUAACUGACGCUAAGGCGUGAAAGCGUGGGGAGCAAACAGGAUUAGAAACCCUAGUAGUCC